CCUGGCCCACUUUCUUCCCGAUCCGCUUCCGUAAUGGGACUGUCUGGACGAGCCAAAAGCUCGGGAGGAUCUAAAGGAUAAACUGCUGGGUCUGUGGAGCGCUCCCCUCUUCGUCAGUGAAAGGCUUCCCGUGGUGGACAUCCCCACUUCAA